UUAGUGGCGGACGGGUGAGUAACGCGUGGAAAACCUGCCGUAUACUGGGGGAUAACACUUAGAAAUAGGCGCUAAUACCGCAUAAGCGCACAGCUUCGCAUGAAGCGGUGUGAAAAACUCUGGUGGUAUACGAUGGUUCCGCGUCUGAUUAGCUAGUUGGUGGGGUAAUGGCCUACCAAGGCAACGAUCAGUAGCCGGCCUGAGAGGGUGAACGGCCACAUUGGGACUGAGACACGGCCCAAACUCCUACGGAAGGCAGCAG
rnacentral:rRNA from 1 species